CUGGGCCUGCUCGCAAGAUUAUAACUUGGCGCACCGUCGCAGAGCGCAAGAAAGAAACUAGCCCCCAAAUCCCCAGCCCACACCUCGCCGGCGGAGGCGGAAAGAAGGCAAACAAGGAACCCUAGCCGCCUGAGGAAGGAGCGCCCAGAUCUAUCCGCAAGACCGGCGAGGAUCCAUGGCAGCGGUUCGAUGCCUGGCGAGGAGGCUCGGUAAAACGCUGGCGACGGUCGCGGAGGAGCGACGCGGCCAACUCGUGCCAAGAAGGUUCUUCAGCGAGCAUGCUCAUGAGAUGAAGCAGAAGAUGAGGAAGCAGAAGGUGGAGGAGCUGUAUGAUGCCUUAUACAAGCGGGGGAAGAUUCCCACCACUAGUCCCUCUGUACAAGCCAGUCAAGAACCCGACCGUCUGCGUACUCGGCGUUAUGCAAUGAGGAUUCGGGGUGUGUUUGACUUAGCUGCCAAGAUGACGUUAGGCUUUAUGCUGGUUGCUUAUGCGGUUAGUCCCAAACUGCCCAGAGAAGAGGACACCACCAAUAAUUGCCCACAAUGCGGCUUGAGAACAUCAACGACCAGAGAAGGCACCACCAAUAAUUGAGAACCAAAGAUGAUGCUAUCUUUAAUUUGUGAUAUUGUGUGACAUGGUAUCAUGUAAUUAUAUCUCUUGUCUAUUAACUAAUUGAGUAGAAUAUACAGUACUCGAACAAAUUGUGCAAGGAAUCAGGUCUCUUCUACAUUGUAUCAUGUAAUUAUAUCUCUUAUCUAUUAACUAAUUGAGUAGAAUACAGUACUCGAACAAAUUGUGCAA